CAAUCAAACAGAAAGAGAUGAUAUGAACCAGGAUGAGGCAGUGGCCUCAGGGACAAGAGUCAGAGUGUGAGGUUAAGAGAACUAAAGGAGGUCAUGACUGGAAGUGAGUUACCUGUGGAGAGCAGAGGAAGAGGAAGAGGCCAGGGAAAUUGCCAAGUAUCUGGCUCCAGUGACUGGGCACGUGACGAAGCCUUCAGUUUUUGACCAGGGCUGGGUUUGAACCCGCCACCUCCGGUACAUGAGCCACAGGCACCACCCAGUAAUCUAUUUACUCUUUAUUGAUCCAUGAAGCAGAAUUAAGACCCUCGUGUAAAUUCAAAGAGGCAGCAAAUUUUAGUUCACAAGAUUGACUAACUUUACAGUCACGGUUGCCCAGGAGUAGAAUCUGUUCAAACACAGUAUGCUGAGGCAAGGAAUCUGGACGUCCAUCCAGAAGCGAUAUUGUAGGGGAGAUUCCUGCCCUGUGGAGGGUGGGGUCGCUAAGUGCCUUUCCAAUCCUGGGUUUAUGGGCUCCUAUGAAAUGACUUCCCUUUAAUUUGGGUAAAAAUACACAGAUCUCUAACAAGAUAAUGUAGAUGAUCUACUCUUGACCAGAUUAGAAAACUCACGAAUCUAAGGACACCACCAAACCAACUGUGUGUUAUUAAAGUAUGGUUUCACAAACCCUGGACAUAUGUGCCCUCUUAGAGGAGGAAAGAAUCCUGAGGCAUGAAUUGCACACUGAAAGGACUCUACUUGAAACCACUUACAUGGUGACAGUAAGAUGGCGUCCGUCAGACUAGGGCAGCCAGGACACGGCUGGUCUGCUCCAUUUAGGUCCUGCCUGACCUCCAACCCCGUCUCCCAUUCUUACUGUUUUGUAAAUUUAGCUCUCACCCUAAAGAUGCCUGUCUUGAGUAGUUUAAGGGGAUUGAUUUAGAAGACUAACUUUUAAAUUAAAAUGUUGCUAACUGUUCAUGAGUCAUAGUGAUAACAGGACAGGUGGUGCCCCAGCCAGCUGAGCUGAGCUGAGCUGAGCUGAGCUGGAAGACCUGCCCCCUUAGCCCUGGCGGUGUUGGUGCAGCGGCCGGCAGUGGAACCAGCUGGUUGGAGGGUAGGCAGUGGGGCCGUAGGAGGCUCUAGUAGGUGGAGGGUCCAGACACCUGCUGGGGAGACAGCAGUGUCUUGGUGUGUCCUUCCCCUUGUAAUUCAGGCUAAACCUGGAACCCCGCCUUUUCUAGGCCUGGUCAAUUUCAUGUAAGUUUCCUAGGCCUCAAUUUCAUGAAUGGUCUGUGUGCAUUGAUUAAUACAUUCAUUUACCUUGCCCCAUUUGCCCCAGCGGAAUUCAUUCAUUAAUGUACUCAUUCAGCUUGCCCCAUGCAAAGGACUGUAACCAUUCUU